UUCGGCGGCCAUAGCGAGGGGGAAACGCCCGGCUCCAUUCCGAACCCGGAAGCUAAGACCCUCAGCGCCGAUGGUACUGCGCGGGAAGCUGCGUGGGAGAGUAGGACGCCGCCGGAC
rnacentral:rRNA from 1 species